GGAAGGGCGCUGCUCUGCCUGAAAGCGAGCCGGUCCCGGGCUCCAGCUGCAGCUGGGUCACCAUGAAAAAAACCCAGGGGGAUCUGGUUCUAAGAGGGCGGGAAAAUCCUAAUAUUUGAAACCAUCAGCAAGAAAAAAGUCUUCUCCGGGUUCUUUUGAAUAUCCAGACGCCGUGGGACUGGGUUACCUGGAGCCAGAGGGAAGGGGGGCCCAAGGGGCAGUGGUGGCGUGUCGGCUGCCAGCUUCGUCGAGGUCACUACAACUUAAAUCACCAGAGGAACAGGGGCUUUUGCUUGGGGAUGGGGGCUGCUCAGCGGGCUACAGCAGUGCCUAGCACCCAAUGAACGUGAUUCUUCAGCUACACGUGCAGCUUAGAGUACAGAUGCUCUCAGAGUCCGGGGGAUCCAGUUCCUGGGCUGGCCAAGCCAGAAUAGAAACCCCGGGUAUGACGGACAGGCUCCUUGGCUUCUCCCCACAGCCCAGGCCCUGAGACCCCCCAGGCCUGGGCAGAGUGCCACCUGGAGGAUCUCCACUGCAGAGAGGAGUCCUCGUGCAGAGCUGACCCUGGAACAUGCCACCAGUUCAGGAUCCACAGAGUGACAGGGGCUGCUACCAAGUCAUGUUAUGGAUUAAAGUUUUUUUAAGUCUUGCCUUAACAAAAUUUCCUUUUUACCAAAAACUUAGGCAAACUUCCUCAAAGCCCCCUGUAUAGCUCUGGUUAUUUGAGAGGAGUGUCUGGCCAGUGGGUUUCAGCCCCAGGAGGUUCACUGUCAAAUCAGUGGACCAAAGAAA